GAUUUAGAGAGAUCUUAAGCUCACCGCGGAAGCCGCCGAAGCUGGCGCUGCCACCCUCGCCACCGUAGUUCAAAUCGAGCCAAGGCGCCUCCUCUACCAAUGCAUCUCCAGAUCUGGUAGCAACGUCUUCUUCGCAAACGAGAUUUUGGUGUUGUUGUCGCCGUCGCUCAGCUUGCUCUCCAUGGCCGCCAUGUGAAGUAGGCUCUGACGAGACAACACGAGCAGCAUCACGCACGUCUUCUUCCUUCGGUAGCAACAGCGAUGACAUUGGUUUCAAGACUCACAUUUCUUCGAUUAAUGUUUGUUUCACCAGCCCUGCUUGAUUAAUUACAUUUUUGGUUACUUGUUUUCGAUUGCCGAUUAUAUGAAUGUUCCCAGGAUCUUGUCUUUCCCAUAAGUUUUAUUGACAGGUACUCAAAUUAGGAAGGUUUUUCGAUGCUACCUCUUAUGCCCAGGCUGAUGUUGAAGAGAAAUGUCAGGUGAUUUUUUAUCUAGGAAGAAGUCUUCUGCUAAAAGGCGAAUAAAAUGCAGCCAAAGUGAAAGUACCUUGGAAAGCUCUUGAAAAAGGACCGCUAGAGAAAGGAAUGGAGAUAUUUGGGAGAAACAGGAGCAACACUAAAACUGGUUCAAUCGAUGAAUAUCAAAGGUUUAAGUAUUGCUCAUGUCAAGAGUCAUUUACAGAUAUACAGGAGCAAGAAGGUAGAGGACACAAAUCAUCAAGGAAUGGGAAAGACACCAACCUCCAAUCAUAGCAGUAACAAAUCUAGGCUAAAAAUGAAAGUUAGGCUACUUUUAAAUUCUUAGAUCAAUUGCUAAAAACGAAAGUUAGGCUAUUUUUUAAGGUGCAACUUUAGAUCAUUGCUAAUACUUGUAUUGCUACAUUGAUGUAAUAUAGUUAUAGGCUUGUAGUAUUUUUUUUUGUUUAGAUU